rnacentral:lncRNA from 13 species
AUUGUUCCUUUCCUUAUGAUGUGUGUUCUAGCCCAACAGAAUUCUGUGGAAGUUAUGAAGUGGAAGGCAGGAGAACGCAAAGCUUUGAAGAAGAGAAAGAGGUUUGAGAGCUUGAAUUCAGGUUAUUCAUUUUUGGCAAGAAUACUAAAAAGUUCUGUGAUGCUCUGAAGAGAGAGAGGCCACAUAUGAGGAGGCACGAGAUUAUCUGCUUCAAUUAUAUUUUCAAAUUUAUUUGCAUGGAGUGAAUGUGAGUAGUCUCUUACGAGUUUUAAAAUUUCUUCUGUCUCAAUG